GACAGAGGCCCCGAGGCGUUAGGCGGAAUCACUGGGCUUAAAGCGUGUGUAGGCGGGAGCGUAAGUACCUUGUGAAAUCCCGACGGCUCAACCGUGGAACGGCUGGGUAUACUGCGCUUCGUUGGGCCAACUAGGGGCAGCCGGAACAAGCGGUGGAGCGGUGAAAUGCGUUGAUAUCGGCUGGAACUCCGGUGGCGAAGGCGAGGUGCCUGGACCCUUUCUGACGCUGAUGCGCGAAGCCAGGGGAGCAAACGGG
rnacentral:rRNA from 1 species